CUGUGGGUAUUGUUCCAGGUAUUACAGUGUGUUCUGUGGGUAUUGUUCCAGGUAUUAUAGUGUUCUGUGGGUAUUGUUCCAGGUAUUAUAGUGUUCUGUGGGUAUUGUUCCAGGUAUUAUAGUGUUCUGUGGGUAUUGUUCCAGGUAUUAUAGUGUUCUGUGGGUAUUGUUCCAGGUAUUAUAGUGUUCUGUGGGUAUUGUUCCAGGUAUUAUAGUGUGUUCUGUGGGUAUUGUUCCAGGUAUUAUAGUGUUCUGUGGGUAUUGUUCCAGGUAUUAUAGUGUGUUCUGUGGGUAUUGUUCCAGGUAUUAUAGUGUUCUGUGGGUAUUGUUCCAGGUGUUACAGUGUUCUGUGGGUAUUGUUCCAGGUGUUACAGUGUUCUGUGGGUAUUGUUCCAGGUAUUACAGUGUUCUGUGGGUAUUGUUCCAGGUAUUAUAGUGUUCUGUGGGUAUUGUUCCAGGUAUUACAGUGUUCUGUGGGUAUUGUUCCAGGUAUUACAGUGUUCUGUGGGUAUUGUUCCAGGUAUUAUAGUGUUCUGUGGGUAUUGUUCCAGGUAUUACAGUGUGUUCUGUGGGUAUUGUUCCAGGUAUUACAGUGUGUUCUGUGGGUAUUGUUCCAGGUAUUAUAGUGUUCUGUGGGUAUUGUUCCAGGUAUUAUAGUGUUCUGUGGGUAUUGUUCCAGGUAUUAUAGUGUUCUGUGGGUAUUGUUCCAGGUAUUAUAGUGUUCUGUGGGUAUUGUUCCAGGUAUUAUAGUGUUCUGUGGGUAUUGUUCCAGGUAUUAUAGUGUUCUGUGGGUAUUGUUCCAGGUAUUAUAGUGUGUUCUGUGGGUAUUGUUCCAGGUAUUACAGUGUUCUGUGGGUAUUGUUCCAGGUAUUAUAGUGUUCUGUAAGUAUUGUUCCAGG
rnacentral:lncRNA from 1 species